rnacentral:rRNA from 1 species
AUUGAACGCUGGCGGCAGGCCUAACACAUGCAAGUCGAGCGGAUGAAGGGAGCUUGCUCCUGGAUUCAGCGGCGGACGGGUGAGUAAUGCCUAGGAAUCUGCCUGGUAGUGGGGGAUAACGUCCGGAAACGGGCGCUAAUACCGCAUACGUCCUGAGGGAGAAAGUGGGGGGUCUUCGGACCUCACGCUAUCAGAUGAGCCUAGGUCGGAUUAGCUAGUUGGUGGGGUAAAGGCCUACCAAGGCGACGAUCCGUAACUGGUCUGAGAGGAUGAUCAGUCACACUGGAGCUGGACCAGGGUCCAGACGCCUACGAGAGGCAGCAGAGGGGAAUGUUGGACAGUGGGCGGGAGCCUGGUCCAGCCGUGCCGCGUGUGUGGAGAAGGUCUUCGGAUUGUAAAGCACUUUAAGGGGGGAGGAAGGGCAGUAAGUUAAUACCUUGCUGUUUUGACGUUACCAACAGAAUAAGCACCGGCUAACUACGUG